rnacentral:lncRNA from 1 species
AACAAAGGCUGGGCGGAGCUCACAUUCAACGUUUCUUGGGUCUAAAUCUUCCGGGCAGCUGUCUACACUUUGGCUCAGCUCGCUGCUGAGGAGCCCUGACUUGGGAGUGGACCAUGGUGUAGCCCCGACAGCAGGCAAGCUGAAGGAGGAGCGUGACCUCUGAGCCAGCGGGGAGCAACUCAGCAUCGAGGCACCACACACACACACACACACACACACACACACACACACGACUCUGCAUCCCAGAUAUCCCCCCACCCAGCCUGCAUUCCCUGGCUGGAGAAGGCAAGAAUGAGUCACCUGUCCCUUCCUCACUGCCCAGCUGAGCUGUUGGGGCAGCUACAGCCACAGGAAUACUCUUGAGAAAGGAGUGUAAUACCUGUGUCCUCGGGGAGGGCUUGGAAGAAUAAAGAAGGAACCUGGACAAGGACAGCUCGAGGGGUCCUUGCUUCGAGCAGACACCAACAGGAUUCGGGAAGUCCAGUGACUGACCCCUGGACAGCAGGCAGCAGGAAUGACUCCGAACAUGCUUUAAAACCAUGGUUUAAAGUCACACAAAUUUUAUCAAAAAAAUAAAAUUUCUGGAACUCAAACAUCCAAAAGUGGAUCCAACUUCAGGCAAAUCUGGACUUUGAGAGCCUGGCAGUGUCAUCAGGAUAUUUUUUUCUUGUUUGUGUGUUUUUGUUUGUGUAUGUGUGUCUGUGUUUUUUAAUGCCUCCCAUCUUGAGCUUCUUUUUGCAGAUAGAGUCUCCUCAUGAGGCUGGGAAGUCAGCUGCCAACAUCCUCAGAUUCACUUUCUCUGUUUGGGGACCAGAACAGAAUAUAAGCCCAGUUCAGCCCAGCUGAAGUACUGAUAUAGUUUGGACGUUUGUCCCCUCCAAAUCUUACAUUGAAAUGCAAUUCCCAGUGUUGGAGGUGGGGCCUGGUGGAAGGUGUUUGGAUCGGCGGGGUGGAUUCCUCGUGAAUGGUUUAGUCAUCCCAUUGGGAAUAAGUGAGUUCUCUCUCUGAGUUCAGAGAUCUGGUUAUUUAGAGUCUAGGCCUCCUCUCCCUCUCGCUCCUCCUCUCACUAUGUGAUAUGCCGGUACCCACUUCACUUUCCACCAUGAGUAAAAGCUCCCUGUGGCCUCACUAGAA